AGAUACUCAUAUUUUGUAGCGGACUCUCAAUAUUUUUUUCCCUUUAUAUAAUCUGGCUAUUUUUUACUCUUUUUAUAGUUCUAUGUGAGAAAUCGCUUUGCAAGUAGUAUAAAAUAUUGCUAUGUUGAACCUGGCCCGAAGAGAUCCAGCUAAUCAUUCUCUGUUGAUUUCAUAUUGAAUUCUUUCACCGCGUUCACCGCCAUUCACCGCAUAAUAGUCUCCUACACCGCAUGAGAUAAGCAGGUCACAACAAUUUACUAUUGUCUUUUAUUUCACAAAAAUUGCAGAUCGUCCCUGGUGGCUUAGUGGUAGUUCGUCUGGCCUGUCUCUGUUAACGUUUGGGUUCAAAUCCCGUUGAACUCAUAUUUUGUAGCGGACUCUCAAUAUUUUUUUUCCUUUAUUUAUUGUUGCUAUUUUUUAUACUUUUUAUACUUCUAUGUGAGAAAUCGCUUUGCAAGUAGCAUAAAAUAUUGCUAUUUUGAACUUGGCCCAAAGAGAUCCAGCUAAUAAUUCUGUGUUGAUUUCAUAUUGAAUUCUUUCACGGCGUUCACCAGCAUUCACCGCAUAAUAGUCUCGUACACCGCAUGAGAUAAGCAGGUCACAACAAUCUACUAUUGUCUUUAAUUUCACAAAAAUUUCAGAUCGUCCCUGGUGGCUUAGUGGUAGUUCGUCUGGCCUGUCUCUAUUAACGUUUGGGUUCAAAUCACGUUGAACUCAUAUUUUGUAGCGGACUCACAAUAUUUUUUUUCCUUUAUAUAAUCUGGCUAUUUUUCACUCUUUUUAUAGUUCUAUGUGAGAUAUCGCUUUGCAAGUAGUAUAAAAUAUUGCUAUGUUGAACCUGGCCCGAAGAGAUCCAGCUAAUCAUUCCGUGUUAAUUUCAUAUUGAAUUCUUUCACCGCAUUCACCGCCAUUCACCGCAUAAUAGUCUCCUGCACCGCAUGAGAUAAGCAGGUCACAACAAUCUACUAUUGUCUUUAAUUUCACAAAAAUUUCAGAUCGUCCCUGGUGGCUUAGUGGUAGUUCGUUUGGCCUAUCUCGAUAAACGUUUGAGUUGAAAUCACGCUGAACUCAUAUUUUGUAGCAGACUCACAAACUUUUUUCCCUUUAAUCUUUAUAUAAUCUGGCUAUUUUUUACUCUUUUUAUAUUUCUAUGUGAGAAAUUGCUUUACAAGCAGAAAAAAUAUUGCUAUGUUGAACCUGGCCUGAAGAGAUCCAGCUAAUCAUUCUGUGUUGAUUUCAUAUUGAAUUCUUUCACCGCGUUCACCGCCAUUCACCGCAUAAUAGUCUCCUACACCGCAUGAGAUAAGCAGGUCACAACAAUCUACUAUUGUCUUUAAUUUCACAAAAAUUUCAGAUCGUCCCUGGUGGCU
rnacentral:lncRNA from 1 species